GAUGUGCCCAGAUGGGAUUAGCUUGUUGGUGGGGUAACGGCUCACCAAGGCGACGAUCCCUAGCUGGUCUGAGAGGAUGACCAGCCACACUGGAACUGAGACACGGUCCAGACUCCUACGGGAGGCAGCAGUGGGGAAUAUUGCACAAUGGGCGCAAGCCUGAUGCAGCCAUGCCGCGUGUAUGAAGAAGGCCUUCGGGUUGUAAAGUACUUUCAGCGGGGAGGAAGGGAGUAAAGUUAAUACCUUUGCUCAUUGACGUUAUCCGCAGAAGAAGCACCGGCUAACUCCGUGCCAGCAGCCGCGGUAAUACGGAGGGUGCAAGCGUUAAUCGGAAUUACUGGGCGUAAAGCGCACGCAGGCGGUUUGUUAAGUCAGAUGUGAAAUCCCCGGGCUCAACCUGGGAACUGCAUCUGAUACUGGCAAGCUUGAGUCUCGUAGAGGGGGGUAGAAUUCCAGGUGUAGCGGUGAAAUGCGUAGAGAUCUGGAGGAAUACCGGUGGCGAAGGCGGCCCCCUGGACGAAGACUGACGCUCAGGUGCGAAAGCGUGGGGAGCAAACAGGAUUAGAUACCCUGGUAGUCCACGCCGUAAACGAUGUCGACUUGGAGGUUGUGCCCUUGAGGCGUGGCUUCCGGAGCUAACGCGUUAAGUCGACCGCCUGGGGAGUACGGCCGCAAGGUUAAAACUCAAAUGAAUUGACGGGGGCCCGCACAAGCGGUGGAGCAUGUGGUUUAAUUCGAUGCAACGCGAAGAACCUUACCUGGUCUUGACAUCCACGGAAGUUUUCAGAGAUGAGAAUGUGCCUUCGGGAACCGUGAGACAGGUGCUGCAUGGCUGUCGUCAGCUCGUGUUGUGAAAUGUUGGGUUAAGUCCCGCAACGAGCGCAACCCUUAUCCUUUGUUGCCAGCGGUCCGGCCGGGAACUCAAAGGAGACUGCCAGUGAUAAACUGGAGGAAGGUGGGGACGACGUCAAGUCAUCAUGGCCCUUACGACCAGGGCUACACACGUGCUACAAUGGCGCAUACAAAGAGAAGCGACCUCGCGAGAGCAAGCGGACCUCAUAAAGUGCGUCGUAGUCCGGAUUGGAGUCUGCAACUCGACUCCAUGAAGUCGGAAUCGCUAGUAAUCGUGGAUCAGAAUGCCACGGUGAAUACGUUCCCGGGCCUUGUACACACCGCCCGUCACACCAUGGGAGUGGGUUGCAAAAGAAGUAGGUAGCUUAACCUUCGGGAGGGCGCUUACCACUUUGUGAUUCAUGACUGGGGUGAAGUCGUAACAAGGUAACCGUAGGGGAACCUGCGGUUGGAUCACCUCCUUA
rnacentral:rRNA from 1 species